rnacentral:lncRNA from 1 species
AAGGCGCUGCGUCCUGGCGGCUCUGCGGGGGUUUCGUCGAGGCCCAGCAGGCUUGGGUCGGGAGACCCGGGUGCCGGCGGGGGCCGGGCUGGGAGACGCCACGGCCGCCAUCAGUCACCGAGGUGGGGUGGGAAAGAGAGGUUCGCUGCGGCUUCAAGGUCUGAGCACAGCCAGUGGGCAGCCACAGCAGAGGCCUCCGGUGUCUGCAGGGCAGAGGGCUCGGCCUGUCCCGAGGCCCCCCAGUUCAUCCGCCGGCCCGGGGCCAGAGGGCCCUGAAGGCGCGGGCUGCGUUCUGCGUCUCUCCGCGAUCUCUGCCGGACCGGAACUAAGACCAGACCAUUUUCUUCUGGAGGACAAUUAUGCUUUGUCUCAAGCACACUGCUAAAUCAGAAAUUUGUAUUGAUGAAAAAAAAAAGUUGUUCUUGGCCAAAAACAUCAAUCAGCCUCAUCUCCAGAGUGAUCCUCCAAACUCAGGGAGAAUUGGAGUGAAUGACAGUUCCUAUUUCUCAACAUCAUUGUCAGCAUUUGAUGCCGUCAGUGUCCUAGAUUUUGACCAUUAUAAUAGGCAUCCUCCUUAGCCACCUCUGAUGAGUGCAUUGAAGAGGAUGACCUGCUUGGUUAUUCUGCUUCCCGAAUACAAAAAAUUAGGCUUCUGAAAUCAAACAUAAGAAGUCAUUGUUGCUUUUAUUCCAGGGACUGGGUCUCGCUGUGUUUCCCAGGCAGGUCUCUAACUACUGGGCUCAAAUAUCUGUCUGCUGCAGCCUCCCAAAGUGAUGGGAUUAGAGGCAUUAGCCACCCCACCCAGCCUCAACCAAGGUUAAAUCUUAAUAAUGGCUUUUUUAUAAUUUUUAGACAAUAUACUUUUUAUAAUUUUCUGUUUCUAAUUUAUUUUUCUAACAAGAAUACAUUAACGUUAUAGUCUUGAAGUGCUCAUUAAAUUUUAUAAAAUAAAUGUUAUUAAGCAUAACUAAGACUGGCCUUCAAUCAACAGCCAAUGAAGAAGAGACCCUUAGUUCAACAUCCUGUAAGCCAUGGAAUCCUACAAAAGACUGCAUCAGGAGGCCUGAAACACACCAUAGAAAAUGAAGAGUGGCUGAGAUAAUGUGCAUAGACCAACCUGCAGAAGAUACAAAAACAGCCAAAUCCUGGCCUUGUCUGAGAUACCUAUGGAGACUCUGCCCAUAAGAACUCUGAGGCAUUUUUCCAACCUCAGCAGCUGUUACCAAAGACUCUGCAGGAGAGAA